rnacentral:rRNA from 1 species
GACGAACGCUGGCGGCGUGCCUAAUACAUGCAAGUAGAACGCUGAAGGAGGAGCUUGCUUCUCUGGAUGAGUUGCGAACGGGUGAGUAACGCGUAGGUAACCUGCCUGGUAGCGGGGGAUAACUAUUGGAAACGAUAGCUAAUACCGCAUAAGAGUAGAUGUCGCAUGACAUUUGCUUAAAAGUUGCAAUUGCAUCACUACCAGAUGGACCUGCGUUGUAUUAGCUAGUUGGUGAGGUAACGGCUCACCAAGGCAACGAUACAUAGCCGACCGGAGAGGGGGAUCGGCCAAACUGGGACUGAGACACGGCACAGACUCCUACGGGAGGCAGCAGGAGGGAAUCUUGGGCAAUGGACGGGAGUCUGACCGAGCAAGGCGGCGUGAGGGAAGAAGGUUGUCGGAUCGUAAAGCUCUGUUGUAAGAGAAGAAAGAGGGUGAGAGUGGAAAGUUCACACUGUGACGGUAUCUGAACAGAAAGGGACGGCUAACUACGUG